UCUGGAGUGGAAUGACCCUGUGGAGUUGACCCACGUGGAGGGAAAAAGAGGCAGCUAGCUGACUAAGCAGGAACUAUGAAACUACAUUCUUAUAUUAGAAAUAGAUGACACCAUUUUCCAGUUUGAAAUUAGAAGCCAGUAUACCUCCAGACAUUUCUCUAUGGAUAAACUGAAAGUGGCGUCAGCUGGGCCAAGAAGCAGGCAUGCAGGUGGCGGCUUCCCCGUCCCGGGGAUCCAGGACGUAGUCUGAGACUGACAUUUGGAAAUGAGGCCCACUGCGGGCCUGGGGGACUUCACACUUCACAUCACCCCUUUUACCCAUCACGACAUACAAGGCAAGUACACCUGGAUUUUCCGAACAGCUUAUUUCUUCAGUCUUCUCUAACGCUAUGGAACAAGAAGCUGUCACUGAGUAGGGCCAAAUAUAGGGGCUGCUUGCUUUUCUCCUUGCCUCCCUCCAAUUUAAAUUAUAGGUAUAUAUUUUCUGUGGGUACAAAAUGCCUACAAUUCUUAAUCUGUUCAAUGUGCAGUAACAUCUUGGUUAUAAGGAGCUCAGUUAAGGGUGAAUGUGGUUAAAAGCUCAGGUCUAGAGUCUGACUGCUGGGGUUUCAGUCAUGGUUCUACAGCUUAUUUAUUAAUUGUGUAACUUUAGGGACUGCUCUGGACUGAAUGUUUGUGUCCUCUCAAAAUCCACGUGUUAAAGCCUAAUUCCCA
rnacentral:lncRNA from 1 species